rnacentral:tRNA from 3 species
UGGGGUGUCGCCAAGUGGUAAGGCAGCGGACUCUGACUCCGUUAUUUCGAGGGUUCAAAUCCUUCCACCCCAACCA